rnacentral:rRNA from 1 species
UACGUAGGGGGCAAGCGUUGUCCGGAAUCAUUGGGCGUAAAGCGCGUGUAGGCGGCUUGGUAAGUCCGUUCUGAAAGUCCGGGGCUCAACCCCGGGAGGCGGAUGGAUACUGCUGAGCUCGAGUACGGAAGAGGCGAGUGGAAUUCCCGGUGUAGCGGUGAAAUGCGCAGAUAUCGGGAGGAACACCAAUGGCGAAGGCAGCUCGCUGGGACGUUACUGACGCUGAGACGCGAAAGCGUGGGGAGCAAACAGG